GAUCCUGGCUCAGAUUGAACGCUGGCGGAAUGCUUUACACAUGCAAGUCGAGCGGCAGCGCGGGGGCAACCCUGGCGGCGAGCGGCGAACGGGUGAGUAACAUAUCGGAACGUACCCAGUCGUGGGGGAUAACUAUCCGAAAGGAUAGCUAAUACCGCAUACGACCUGAGGGUGAAAGCGGGGGACCGUAAGGCCUCGCGCGAUUGGAGCGGCCGAUAUCGGAUUAGCUAGUUGGUGAGGUAAAAGGCUCACCAAGGCGACGAUCCGUAGCUGGUCUGAGAGGACGACCAGCCACACUGGAACUGAGACACGGUCCAGACUCCUACGGGAGGCAGCAGUGGGGAAUUUUGGACAAUGGGGGCAACCCUGAUCCAGCCAUUCCGCGUGAGUGAAGAAGGCCUUCGGGUUGUAAAGCUCUUUCAGCAGGAACGAAACGGUGGUCCCUAAUACGGGCUACUAAUGACGGUACCUGAAGAAGAAGCACCGGCUAACUACGUGCCAGCAGCCGCGGGGUAAUAC
rnacentral:rRNA from 1 species